rnacentral:lncRNA from 1 species
UGAAGGAGAAGCCUGUCCUCUAUGGGGUCCCAAAUUAAGUUUUGGCACAAUCACCCUGCAAUUUGAGCUAAAACUGGUUUGCCUGUUCCAAUAGGUGAAGAGCACAGCACUGCUGGAAACCUCCGAGGUGAAGGAGACCAAACUACUCUCUGGGUCCUGGAAAACGUGAAGAUGUGACCAACAAUUUCAGGAGGAAAAUGGGAACAUUUCAAGGUGUUCCUGGACAUCCUGCAAAACCACAGGGAAAAUAUCUGCAUGCCACUCAAAUGAAGCAACUCAAAACCAAACUCUGUGAAGAUAAUCCCAUCUUUUGAUUUUAUUUGGUAGAAAUGAAUGGGGAAAAAAAAGAAAAAAGCUUCAACUCUGGAUUUUCAUGAUGAUAGAGUGGGAACUUUCACCACCGUCCCAGUUUUGGACUGCAUUUGAUGCAGGCUCAUGGAGACAGGGGACUGUUAUUAGAGCUGUGUGAAUAAUCUACAGCAAGUAACUGAAUGGAAGUGUUUGGCCUUUUAUCUGUUUGCAAACUAUCUGUGAGCUUUCCUGGAUGUUCUUGAAUGUGUUUGUUAUUUGAGAUAAUACUGCCCAUAAUUUCUGUGAAUAAUCAUUUAUUUGUGGACUGCCUA